rnacentral:rRNA from 1 species
UAGGGAAUCUUGCGCAAUGGGCGAAAGCCUGACGCAGCGACGCCGCGUGGGGGAUGAAGGUCUUCGGAUCGUAAACCCCUGUCUUUGGGGACGAAGCAUGACGGUACCCAAGGAGGAAGCCCCGGCUAACUACGUGCCAGCAGCCGCGGUAAAACGUAGGGGCGAGCGUUGUCCGGAAUUACUGGGCGUAAAGGGUGCGUAGGCGGCCGCUUAAGUCCUGUGUGAAAGGCCCCGGCUUAAUCGGGGAGGGUCAUGGGAAACUGGGCGGCUUGAGUGCCGGAGAGGGUGGUGGAAUUCCCGGUGUAGCGGUGAAAUGCGUAGAGAUCGGGAGGAACACCAGUGGCGAAGGCGGCCACCUGGACGGCAACUGACGCUGAGGCACGACAGCUGGGGGAGCAAACAGGAUUAGAUACCC